AGAGUUUGAUCCUGGCUCAGAACGAACGCUGGCGGCGUGGAUAAGACAUGCAAGUCGAACGAGAUUUUUCGUUGUAGCAAUACGAUGGAAAAUUUAGUGGCGAACGGGUGCUUAACACGUGGGCAACCUGCCAUGAAGUGGGGGAUAGCUCGCCGAAAGGCGAAUUAAUACCGCAUGUGAUUAGAGAGGACAUCCUUUCGAAAUUAAAGUCGGGGCAACCUGACGCUUCUUGUGGGGCCCGCGGCCUAUCAGCUAGUUGGUGAGGUAACGGCUCACCAAGGCUUUGACGGGUAGCUGGUCUGAGAGGACGACCAGCCACACUGGGACUGAGACACGGCCCAGACACCUACGGGUGGCAGCAGUCGAGAAUUUUUGACAAUGGGGGAAACCCUGAUCGAGCGACGCCGCGUGGAGGAUGAAGGUCUUCGGAUUGUAAACUCCUGUCAUUUGGGAACAAGGUGCACACGUUAACUGCGUGCGUA
rnacentral:rRNA from 1 species